AGGAGGAAGGGGACGCGUGACAUAUCGUUCACAUAAGCUCGGGUUCUGAUUUCAAGCAAGGAACCCCGCCGCUGCGCCCUCACAGACCUCUACGUUUGACAUUCCAAUCUCCAAAUGCCAAAAAGGAAAGAGAGAAAAGAGAAGGGGAAAAAUAGCAAAAGCCGCGACUGCUACCUAUUAUUUACUUAGUGACUUGGGCCCUCAGGACCUCGUUGGAGAACACGCAAGAGUGCACAGCCGCGUGCCCAAUUGCCAGCAAUUGUUCAAAAACCCAAGCUCGUCUCUCUUCGCUCUGCUCUCAGGCACAGUCAAAAUUGGUCAGGAGAGAAAGGGGGAGAGUGGAACAGGGGCUCUGAAGGAGAGAAAUGAAAGAAGGGAACGUCCUCAUCCUCCCUCUCCAGCUUCUCCCCUGCGCUCUUCGGGCGAAUCGGAGAGGCGGGCGCUGCGUUGGGGAAAGUUUGUCCCACCCGCAUUUCGCAGCUGGCUGCGAGGAGAGGAGGAGGAGCGGGAAGUACAGCUCGGAGCCUGCGGCCGCGAGGAUGACUGAGCCAAUGCCGCGCUUACCUCGCAGUCCUCGUACUUGAUGUUAUCCGUCAGUUUCCAAAGCAUUUUCAUGGAUCGGCGUGAAUGGAUUUGCCCCCUCUCCGCCUCGCACCCAAGUGGAGCUACUCUCUGGCCUAAUCGCCUCAUUAGCAUAUCAACAAUAGUCCAAUUGCUCGCCAGCACCACAAUCUGCCGCCGGCCGCUCCGACCCAGGUAUAAAGGCCUCUCCGAGCCGCGAACUUUCUCCUAGAGCGCGCUCCUGCCGGGGAGCCCACGAAAUCUCCCCUGAGUCCCGCCGCGCGCCCCUGCCCCGGCGCCCCCGCCCCCAUGCCACCCUGCUCCUCUCCUCCCCUUCUCCUCCUCGCCGGAGAUGCCCCGGCGAAAGGCCGGCGCUGCGCGGGGUCCGAGUGGCCGCGCCUGGGGCCCAGCUUUCGGCACCUCUCCCCCAUCCCUGCCUCCACCAGCGGCUCUGUCCUUUUCGGCCCCGUCCAAUUUUAUGAGAAAUUAUUAUCCCUUUCGCAAUUAAAUAUAACCACCAAACCAGGACCAGCGAAGUCGCUCCAGGAUUUUUGCCCAACGAGAGAUCGCCUCCGCUCCCGGCAGCCGACACCUCCGGCCGCAGCGUCCUGGGAGUUUUAUUGGCUUCGCGUUUACCAACCCCCCCCGCCCCCCCAGGCUGGAGAUUUUGCCAAACGGCUUCAGUCGCUCGGCUAGGGUUUGCGAUCCUUUAAUUGCCGCGUGUAAAAUAAAAAGUGUACCCUGAAGAGGUUACUUGACAGCUCCAGGGGUUGAAUGAUUUUCCUCGCAUUUGUAUGAAGCUAGGGCCAACUGAUAAUUCAGCGUGGUAUUUGGGCUAAGGACUUCCUAGGUGCGAUGUGGACAGGAAUACAGAACUCCUAUGGAGACUCACAAGCGCUUCUAGAGUUGAGCCGAAAUGCCGACAGUGUGCGCCGUGUCAUGCAUGCAUCAAAAUAAAUCGCUGGGAACCAACCCUUCGCUGUGCUAAUCUGCUCCAGUUUUCCCAAGAUUCCCCUUUUUAAUUAAAGCAGGGAGAGUUCCUUCAUGAUUUGGUGCUGUUACUAACGCGGGCGCGCUCGCGGCGCAGUGCCCGGCUGGCGCGGAACCGGGAGGCCCGGGAGCCACCCCCUCGUCCAGGUCCGCCAGUCUCGGCUCUCCCGCUCCACACAGGGGCCUGCUCGCCCCACCC